GUUGUGAAAGGACUAAGACCAUGUUUAUCAAAAUUCGGCCUAACGUCCAAAGUGAAUAAUUUUUUGUUAGAAAUAUUCUCUAACAUGUUCUUUUCCUAUAAUGUACUGGUUUUUAUAUGUAGAGUUCGUGAAAGAACACUAUUUUAAGGUUUACAUUACUAGUAUAAAUCCUAUAAUUUGCUCUACUUUUUAAGAUUGCGUCAUACAACGUCGCUAUAUAUUAUUAGAAGUGGUAACGUAUUGUAAAACAUAAUUAUGCAAUGAGUGGUUUAAUAUAUAAUAAGAUCUUGAAAAAGAAAUUUUCUUUCCCAAUAUGCAAUAAGGUUAUUUUACUUAUAGCCCGAAUGGCACACCAUAUUUUUCAAUCCUUCAUUCGGCCUUUUUCACACGCCGCGCCGUUAGCCUGUUUGAGCUGUUCGUGGAAGUUGCAGAGGAUGUACUCAUCGCAUUUCAACGAUGAUAUAAUAUGUACAGCAAAAAUUAAUGGCAAGGUACCAGAUUAUACAGCAGUUAUGUGGAAACAGAUUCCCACAAUAGGGGGACCAGAUUGACACCUACAUUGUACAGUAUCAGGCAGUUAUAUCAGAACUGGAAAAACUGGAUCCAAACAAGACUAUAUUGCUUGGAAGAAACAUGUCGACUCUGAAGUUUAACCCUUAUUAACCCAUGGCACUUCUAUGUCAUUUGAAAUAUACCUGUGGAGGUU